AAACCUCAGAGGUGAGUGGAAACUUUGAGCCAGAGCUCCAGCCAUCUACAAGCAGUGACCAGUGGACACUCUUCGAAAUCCUCCACCAGAAACAUUAGACAAAGCCAAAAGGUUGUUAACCAACUGAAAGGUUAACACAGGUUUUACCAUGAACUCCUGGGUGCCAGAAGCAAAUGCAAACAAUCUUAUUGUUCAGUUUUAUCAUGUUGUGACAAGUCAAAUGACUAUUUGUACCUCGCAUGAAAUGAAGAGAAACUCUCAGUAGACAUAUAGCUAUUCAAGUGAACAGUGAUGUUGUUUCUGUCUAGUCAUGGCUACAAGAGGUUGUGUUAUUCCUCCAAACAGUUUUUGUAAAAUCUGUGGUGAAUACACUAUUAAAAGUCAACAAAGAAACAUAAGUGAUUUUCUGAGGAAAGUUUAUUUUGCUUACUUUAAAUUAAAACUUGGUGAUCAAGAUAAACCAUGGGCUCCGCGUAAGGUGUGUAGAAGAUGUGAAGAAGAUCUUUAUUUGUGGUUCAAGGGUAAGAAAAAUACAUUUCAAUUUGGAAUUCCUAUGAUAUGGUGUGAGCAGAAAAACCAUACCACUGAUUGCUACUUCUGUUCAGCUGAUGAAAAGGGAUUCAAUUAAAAAAACAAAAGAAGCAUAAGUUAUCCUAAUCUUGACUCAGCUAUACAUCCAGUGCCCCAUAGCUCUGAAAUACCUAUCCUACAGCCACCUUCCAGUUUGGAUGAAUACCCGAGUCAGUUGGAGGAUGAAGUUACGAGGCGUGUUUUUUAAGUAAGUACCGUUUUGAAAUUUAAAAAGACGUGCUAAGAUAUCUCAAUAAUUUUAUUUUUACAUGAAAGCCUGUACCUUAAUCUACUCACUGACGCCAUUACAGUCUGAUUCUUCCUUGUUUACAUUGUGUACUGAAUGUUUAAGAUGCCUCCGAUGAGUCCCGCCAAUUGUGAAGUACGGGCUGUUAUAAGAUUUCUUAGUGCUAUAGACCUAAAAGCGAUCAAUAUUCAUUGUGAGAUCUGUUCAGUUUACAGAGAAAACAUUACAAGUGAUGGAAUUGUAAGAAAGUGGGUGGGAGCUUUUAAAGAUGGCCGCACAAAUGUGCAUGAUGAAUAACGGAGUGGGCGUCCUUCGGUCAUCAGUGAAAGUUUGUUGCAGGAAGUGGACAAUAAGGUGAGAGAAAACACACACUUUAUGAUUUCCUCCUUGUGGGAUGACUUUCCUAAUGUUUCUCGUAGUGUUUUGUAUGGCAUUGUGACCGAGCAUUUGAAUUACCAAAAAUUGUGUGCACAUUGGGUACCGAAAUGUUGACUGAUGUGCACAAAACCAAACUUUUAGACAGUCCAUUGACUUUCCUUGAGCAGUACCACAACAACAGUGGUGAUUUCUUAAGCCAAAUUGUUACGGGCGAUGAAACAUGGGUGGCCUACUUCACACCACAAUCAAAGCAACAGUCCAUGGAAGUUGAGCAAAGGCAUCAUUUUGCUGCAAGAGAAUGCCUGUCCGGAUGUGGCGAAUCAGACCAAAGAUCUCAUCACAUCUUUUCGAUGGGAAACUCUACAUCAUCCUUUGUACAGCCCCGAUCUUGCGCCCAGUGACUACUAUCUGUUCCUGUACUUGAAGAAACACCUGGGCGGUCAGCGUCUUCAAGACGAUGAUAAAGUCAAAACAGUGGUGAUGCGGUGGUUAACAAGUCAGGUGGCAGACUUCUAUGAGGAGGGUAUUCAAAAACUGGUACAACGUUAUGACAAGUGCCUCAAUAUUGACGGAAAUUAUGUAGAAAAGUAGAUUAAGGUACAGGCUUUCCUGUAUAAAUAAAAUUAUUGAGAUAUCUCAGCACGUCUUUUUUAAAUUUCAAAAUGGUACUUACUUAAAAAACACACCUCUUACAUUACCUCCUCAGGGUGAAUCAAGCUCAGAUUUUUCUUCAGAUGCAGAUGAAAGACAUCAACUAUUUCCUCAAAGUGAGCUCAAUGGUCUAGUAAGAGAUUUAGGUCUUUCAAUAGAUGCAGCCCCAAACUGUUAGGUUCCAGAUUAAAUAAUAAAAACCUUUUAUCAUCUGGCACCUCAUUUUCAUGGUACAGACACCGAGAAAAAGAAUUUACUCAGUUUUUCUCGAAAGAAGGAAAUUUAGUUUUUUGCAAUGAUGUGGAAGGACACAUGCAUUGCUUUGAUAUGCAGUAUGACUCAUCUGAAUGGUGCCUAUUCAUUGAUUCAUCCAAAACUAGUCUUAAAGUAGUAUUAUUGCACAAUGAAAAUAAAUUUGCAUCACUUCUGAUGGGACAUUCUGUGCAUAUGGACAAAAACUGUAACGAUUUGGCCAUUAUCCUGGAAAAAAUCAAAUAUCAGGACCAUCAAUGGAUGGUUUGUGGGGACUACAAAAUACUCAUGAUGCUUUUGGGUCAGCAGGCAGGCUAUACUAAAUACCCAUGCUUCUUAUGCUUGUGGGAUAGUAGAGGCAGAGACCAGCACUGGACUAAAAGUGAUUGGCCACUCCGAGAAACUUUAAAACCUGGAGAGAGAAAGGUUAUCAAUAUUACUUUGGUACCACCAGAAAAGGUUUUGUUGCCCCCUCUCCAUAUAAAAUUGGGGUUGAUGAAACAAUUUGUAAAAUCACUGCAAAAGGAUGGGGGACUGUUUUUAAAUAUCUAUGUACAAAAUUUUUGAAGCUGUCAGAACCAAAGUUGAAAGAGGGAGUUUUCACUGGCUCCGACAUAAGAAAACUUUUAACCGACACACUCUUUGUGGAAAGUAUGCAUGAGAAGGAAAAAGAAACUUGGGUAUCGUACGAGGAUGUAGUGCAAAAGUUUUUGGGAAAUACUAAGGAUCCUGACUACAAUACCAUUGUUCAACAGUUGCUAGCAGAAUACAAAGCUCAAGGCUGCAAGAUGAGCUUGAAGGUCCAUUUUUUACACUCCCACAUAGGCAGUUUCCUGAAAACCUGGGAGCUUACAGUGAAGAACAGGGGGAGCGGUUUCACCAGGGUGUCUGUGAUAUCGAGAGACGGUACCAAGGAAGAUGAGAUGUCACUAUGCUUGCUGACCACUGUUGGAUGUUUAAGCAGGAAACUAAAGAUGGAAUCAGAAAAGGACUCGAAAAGUAUCAAGGAAAAGAAGAAAAGGUUUCAUAAAAAACAUGAAUAAGUAUAAUAUUGUUACUAUAUAUCUCAA